GAUGAACGCUGGCGGCGUGCCUAAUACAUGCAAGUCGAGCGAAGCGGGGACGGGUGAGUAACACGUGGAUAACCUCCUAUAAGACUGGGAUAACUUCGGGAAACCGGAGCUAAACCGGAUACUUAGAGAUGGAUCCGCGCUGGAUUAGCUAGUUGGUAAGGUAACGGCGUACCAAGGCCACGAUGCGUAGCCGACCUGAGAGGGGGAACGGCCCCACUGGGACUGAUACACGGGCCAGACUGCUACGGGAGGCAGCAGUAGGGAAGCUUCCGCAAUGGGCGAAAGCCUGACGGAGCAACGCCGCGUGAGUGAUGAAGGUCUUCGGAUCGUAAAACUCUGUUAUUAGGGAAGCGGUACCUAAACAGAAAGCCACGGCUAACUACGUGCCAGCCGCCGCGGUAAUAC
rnacentral:rRNA from 1 species